AUUGAACGCUGGCGGCAGGCUUAACACAUGCAAGUCGAGCGGGGUGAUGGUGCUUGCACUAUCACUUAGCGGCGGACGGGUGAGUAAUGCUUAGGAAUCUGCCUAUUAGUGGGGGACAACAUCUCGAAAGGGAUGCUAAUACCGCAUACGUCCUACGGGAGAAAGCAGGGGAUCUUUAUGACCUUGCGCUAAUAGAUGAGCCUAAGUCGGAUUAGCUAGUUGGUGGGGUAAAGGCCUACCAAGGCGACGAUCUGUAGCGGGUCUGAGAGGAUGAUCCGCCACACUGGGACUGAGACACGGCCCAGACUCCUACGGGAGGCAGCAGUGGGGAAUAUUGGACAAUGGGGGGAACCCUGAUCCAGCCAUGCCGCGUGUGUGAAGAAGGCCUUAUGGUUGUAAAGCACUUUAAGCGAGGGGGAGGCUCUUUUGGUUAAUACCCAGAAUGAGUGGACGUUACUCGCAGAAUAAGCACCGGCUAACUCUGUGCCAGCAGCCGCUGUAA
rnacentral:rRNA from 1 species